rnacentral:rRNA from 1 species
CGUCUCAGUUCGGAUUGUAGUCUGCAACUCGACUACAUGAAGCUGGAAUCGCUAGUAAUCGCGAAUCAGAAUGUCGCGGUGAAUACGUUCCCGGGUCUUGUACACACCGCCCGUCACACCAUGGGAGUCAGUAACGCCCGAAGCCGGUGACCCAACCAAACGGAGGGAGCCGUCGAAGGUGGGACCGAUAACUGGGGUGAAGUCGUAACAAGGUAAC